CAAUGUUUGACAGUGGUGAAGAGAUUGUAGAGAACCCAUUUUCACAGGACGACAGCAAUUAUAGGUUGGACAGUCUUGAAAAUCAAGGCAUUGACAGUAAUGAACUAUUGGUGGAUGAAAAUGAGGAGCCUCCGAGAGGAUGGAGAAAAUACAUUUGCUGUAUCAGCCCCCCCAAAAGUCAGGUGCGCAUUAAUUUAUGCCCUUGGGUACAU